rnacentral:rRNA from 1 species
CCUACGGGUGGCUGCAGUGGGGAAUAUUGCACAAUGGGGAAACCCUGAUGCAGCGACGCCGCGUUAGUGAAGAAGCGUUUCGGCGCGUAAAGCUCUGUCAGCGGGGAAGAAACACGGUUCGCGAGAGCCGCGGACGGUACCCGACCAAGAAGCCCCGGCUAACUACGUGCCAGCAGCCGCGGUAAUACGGAGGAUGCGAGCGUUAUCCGGAUUUAUUGGGUUUAAAGGGUGCGUAGGCGGAAUAUCAAGUCAGCGGUAAAAAUUCGGGGCUCAACCCCGUCGUGCCGUUGAAACUGAUGUUCUUGAGUGGGCGAGAAGUAUGCGGAAUGCGUGGUGUAGCGGUGAAAUGCAUAGAUAUCACGCAGAACUCCGAUUGCGAAGGCAGCAUACCGGCGCCCAACUGACGCUGAAGCACGAAAGCGUGGGUAUCGAACAGGAUUAGAUACCCGAGUAGUC